UACGUAGGGGGCUAGCGUUGUCCGGAAUCAUUGGGCGUAAAGCGCGCGUAGGCGGCCCGGUAAGUCCGCUGUAAAAGUCAAAGGCUCAACCUUUGAAUGUCAGUGGAUACUGCCGGGCUAGAGUCCGGAAGAGGCGAGUGGAACUCCUGGUGUAGCGGUGGAAUGCGCAGAUAUCAGGAAGAAUAUCCGUGGCGAAGGCGGCUCUCUGGGACGGUACUGACGCUGAGACGCGAAAGCGUGGGGGAGCGAACAGG
rnacentral:rRNA from 1 species